AGGGUGACGAAGCGACGCCGCGUGGGUGAGGAAGGCCCUCGGGUUGUAAAGCCCUGUCAGGAGUUAAGAAAUGUAGGUACGCUAAUAUCGUAUCUAUUUGACAAAGGCUCCAAAGGAAGCCACGGCUAACUCUGUGCCAGCAGCCGCGGUAAUACAGAGGUGGCAAGCGUUGUUCGGAAUUAUUGGGCGUAAAGAGCACGUAGGUGGAUUUGUAAGUCAGAUGUGAAAGCCUUCUGUUCAACGGAAGAAUUGCAUCUGAAACUACAAACCUUGAGUAUAGGAGGGGAGAAUGGAACUUCUGGUGGAGCGGUGAAAUGCGUAGAUAUCAGAAGGAACGCCGGCGGCGAAAGCGAUUCUCUGGCCUAUUACUGACACUCAGUGUGCGAAAGCUAGGGGAGCAAACGGGAUUAGAUACCCCGGUAGUCCUAGCCGUAAACGAUGGGCACUAAGUAGA
rnacentral:rRNA from 1 species